CACAAAUACAGCUUUGGAGUGCUGUUGCAAAGAGCCUUUAACGAGGUGGUAAAUAUGUUUACCUUUGAUAAGGUGAGCUGCCUGAUAAGAUAAGGUGGAUGGCCACUUUUCAAAAGCAAACAUGCACAGAGCUCAGAGCUUUCACCCAGGAGCUGUGCUGGAUCUGAUCAGCAUAAGGAAAUGUCUACUCGCUCCGGAAUAGCUUCCUGAAAUCAAUUUGUUCCUUUUCAGUUUUAAUUAUAAAAUACCACUCGCUAGAGAGAGAUUUAUUCACUCAAGAGGGUGCAACGUUGGAGAGGGAUGUGCAAAAGGUGCUCAUCGCUGUAGUCUCAGCAAUUAGGGUGCAACUCUCAGUUUAACUAGGACACUGUGGGUAUCUACCUCCUGGUGUGUCACCUCCAAGCUAUCCCAUCCAAGGGACAUCCUGCAAAUGGAAAAGAUCAGGAAAUAUCUCAGAGGAGGAGGCCCUCAUUGGUCUGGUCCUCUCCAUAGGUGACCCCACUAUGACAAUCCUGGCUGGCCCAUCGGUCGUGGGCAAGGAGAAGAGAGGCAACGUGGGCAGUGUCUGCACCACAGAAAUCUCUUAAAAUGUCAUUUGUCGGGGGAGAGGAAAACAAAAUUGUUGCGAGAGCAACAGAAGCUGUGAAGUCCAAAAUGGGAGCUCUACUAAAGCCUUUAACGCACUAGGAAAUUUAUGAAAACAUGAAUAAAAGAUUUGGCCGCACACUUUUGAAGAGCGACUCUCUGUGAAUUCUUGUUAUUCAGAGCUGCUCUCAAAGAGAGAGGGGGGGGGAAAAAAGUGUAUCAGAUCAGCCUACGCCUGUGGUGACUCUCACAAGUUUCAGUUCAAGGAAAGAGAAGAAAAUCAGCAGCUACAAAUUCUGACUCAUUUUGAAAUUUCAGCGCGAUUCAGAAGCGACUGUCCUGAUUUGGGGACCGAGUGCUCAGCCCCUGCUCCUGCUCCGAGCUCCCGGCUGAACCUGGUUUUCCUGACCUAGCUCCAGGGGAAAGAAAGAUCAGCAAGAAAACUGUCCACAAGCCAACCCGUCACAUGGCUCCCUAUAAAGAGGAUUUGCAUACCUGACACAGCUAUGGAAAUAUUCCCCACCCGGGAAGGGGCGAGAGAGAAGGACUAAUAGUGCCCCACUAUCAGGAUGCAAGGGGUUAACUAGUUAAACUUCUACAACCCCCCACAGUAACUUUCCAAAAGCUGACAAUAAGUAAAAGAAGUGCUGGUUAUCCAUUUUUUAAAGGGAUGGGAUUGGUUUUAGAAGAAAGGGAAAGAGGAUCAAACACCUCAGAGCAACAAAAGGUUGUGUCAGAGGGCCCUCAAUCACAAACCUCCUUCAACAAGAGAUAUUCCAACCUUCCAGAGCAGUUACCCAGGCAGCACGGCUAAAAAGUUCCCUGACAUGAAAAGAACAAAAACAGAAGGGACAGAGGUAGUUAUUGUUAUGCACACUCCUCUUUUUUUUUUUUUU